rnacentral:rRNA from 1 species
UUACAAAGGACGACAUUAGACGAAUCAUCUGGAAAGAUGAAUCAAAGAAGGUAAUAAUCCUGUAGUCGAAAAUGUUGUCUCUCUUGAGUGGAUCCUGAGUACGACGGAGCACGUGAAAUUCCGUCGGAAUCUGGGAGGACCAUCUCCUAAGGCUAAAUACUCUCUAGUGACCGAUAGUGAACCAGUACCGUGAGGGAAAGGUGAAAAGCACCCCGGAAGGGGAGUGAAAUAGAACCUGAAACCGUGUGCUUACAAGUAGUCAGAGCCCGUUAAUGGGUGAUGGCGUGCCUUUUGUAGAAUGAACCGGCGAGUUACGAUUUGAUGCAAGGUUAAGCAGUAAAUGUGGAGCCGUAGCGAAAGCGAGUCUGAAUAGGGCGUUUAGUAUUUGGUCGUAGACCCGAAACCAGGUGAUCUACCCUUGGUCAGGUUGAAGUUCAGGUAACACUGAAUGGAGGACCGAACCGACUUACGUUGAAAAGUGAGCGGAUGAACUGAGGGUAGCGGAGAAAUUCCAAUCGAACCUGGAGAUAGCUGGUUCUCUCCGAAAUAGCUUUAGGGCUAGCCUCAAGUGAUGAUUAUUGGAGGUAGAGCACUGUUUGGACGAGGGGCCCCUCUCGGGUUACCGAAUUCAGACAAACUCCGAAUGCCAAUUAAUUUAACUUGGGAGUCAGAACAUGGGUGAUAAGGUCCGUGUUCGAAAGGGAAACAGCCCAGACCACCAGCUAAGGUCCCAA